GUCUGAUGGAGCACGCCGCGUGAGUGAAGAAGGGUUUCGGCUCGUAAAGCUCUGUUGUUAAAGAAGAACGUGGGUAAGAGUAACUGUUUACCCAGUGACGGUAUUUAACCAGAAAGCCACGGCUAACUACGUGCCAGCAGCCGCGGUAAUACGUAGGUGGCAAGCGUUAUCCGGAUUUAUUGGGCGUAAAGCGAGCGCAGGCGGUCUUUUAAGUCUAAUGUGAAAGCCUUCGGCUCAACCGAAGAAGUGCAUUGGAAACUGGGAGACUUGAGUGCAGAAGAGGACAGUGGAACUCCAUGUGUAGCGGUGAAAUGCGUAGAUAUAUGGAAGAACACCAGUGGCGAAGGCGGCUGUCUGGUCUGCAACUGACGCUGAGGCUCGAAAGCAUGGGUAGCGAACAGGAUUAGAUACCCUGGUAGUCCAUGCCGUAAACGAUGAUUACUAAGUGUUGGAGGGUUUCCGCCCUUCAGUGCUGCAGCUAACGCAUUAAGUAAUCCGCCUGGGGAGUACGACCGCAAGGUUGAAACUCAAAAGAAUUGACGGGGGCCCGCACAAGCGGUGGAGCAUGUGGUUUAAUUCGAAGCUACGCGAAGAACCUUACCAGGUCUUGACAUCUUCUGACAGUCUAAGAGAUUAGAGGUUCCCUUCGGGGACAGAAUGACAGGUGGUGCAUGGUUGUCGUCAGCUCGUGUCGUGAGAUGUUGGGUUAAGUCCCGCAACGAGCGCAACCCUUAUUACUAGUUGCCAGCAUUAAGUUGGGCACUCUAGUGAGACUGCCGGUGACAAACCGGAGGAAGGUGGGGACGACGUCAAAUCAUCAUGCCCCUUAUGACCUGGGCUACACACGUGCUACAAUGGAUGGUACAACGAGUCGCGAGACCGCGAGGUUAAGCUAAUCUCUUAAAACCAUUCUCAGUUCGGACUGUAGGCUGCAACUCGCCUACACGAAGUCGGAAUCGCUAGUAAUCGCGGAUCAGCAUGCCGCGGUGAAUACGUUCCCGGGCCUUGUACACACCGCCCGUCACACCAUGAGAGUUUGUAACACCCAAAGCCGGUGGGGUAACCUUUUAGGAGCUAGCCGUCUAA
rnacentral:rRNA from 1 species